AUACUCACUUGGCGUGGGGGCUACCGUGAUCAAGAAGCCGGUUCCCCCAGGGCGAGGCCUUUCCAUUGCACUCCGGUUGGGCUGACCCCUGCUAGUAUCUCAAAUGUAGAUACCUACCUUGGAUACCUCGGGCGCGUAAUAUUUAGGAGUCGGGACUGCGUUCGCGCUGUCCCGG
rnacentral:snRNA from 1 species